rnacentral:rRNA from 1 species
GACAGAGGGUGCAAACGUUGUUCGGAAUUACUGGGCGUAAAGCGCGUGUAGGCGGCUCUGCAAGUCGGAUGUGAAAUCCCACGGCUCAACCAUGGAAGUGCAUUCGAAACUGCAGGGCUAGAGUCCUGGAGAGGAAGGUGGAAUGCUUGGUGUAGAGGUGAAAUUCGUAGAUAUCAAGCAGAACAACCUGCGGCGAAGGCG